rnacentral:rRNA from 1 species
AUACGAACUGUGCGAACGUUAUUCGGAAUCACUGGGCUUAAAGGGUGCGUAGGCGGGUUUAAAGGUCUGAUGUGAAAGCCCACGGCUCAACCGUGGAAUUGCGUUGGAAACCAUAAGCCUUGAGGGAGUCAGAGGUGAGCGGAACUCACGGUGGAGCGGUGAAAUGCGUUGAUAUCGUGAGGAACACCGGUGGCGAAAGCGGCUCACUGGGACUCUUCUGACGCUGAGGCACGAAAGCCAGGGGAGCGAACGGAAUUAGAAACCCCAGUAGUCC